GCUUGUCUCAAAGAUUAAGCCAUGCAUGUCUAAGUAUAAACAAAUCUAUACUGUGAAACUGCGAAUGGCUCAUUAUAUCAGUUAUAGUUUAUUUGAUGGUUCUUACUACUUGGAUAACCGUGGUAAUUCUAGAGCUAAUACAUGCUGGCGUGCCCGACUUUUGCGGAAGGGCGGUAUUUAUUAGAUAACAAGCCAAUAUUCCUCCGGGUCUAUUGUGGUGAUUCAUAAUAACUGAUCGAAUCGCAAGGCCUUUGGCCGCGAUAAGUCAUUCAAGUUUCUGCCCCAUCAGCUUUCGAUGGUAGUGUAUUGGACUACCAUGGCGUUCACGGGUAACGGAGAAUUAGGGUUCGAUUCCGGAGAGGGAGCCUGAGAAACGGCUACCACAUCUAAGGAAGGCAGCAGG
rnacentral:rRNA from 1 species